rnacentral:rRNA from 1 species
AUUUUCUUAUUAUUUAUAUUAAAUUUAUAUUUAGAUAAAAAAGUCUAUUUAAUCUAGAAAGACGAUAAGACCCUAAAACCUUUAUUAGCUAUUUGGCUUUUUUACUGGGGCGGUGAAAUAUAAUAUCAUAGCUUUUCUUAACAUGUCGAAUGAUGUCUUCUAACUCAAAUCAUAUGCAACGAGGUACUUUAGGGAUAACAGCAUAAUUUUUAUUUAGAGUAGCGUAUCGUCAUAGAAGAUUGUGACCUCGAUGUUGAAUUGAUAUAACUUUGUUAAGCAGCAAUAAUUUAAGUAGGUCUGUUCGACCUUUAAAAUAUCACAUGAUCUGAGCUCAAACCGGA